UUACGGCAAUAUCACGUCGAAACACCAGUUCUCGUAAGAUCCCCGAAGUUAAGCAACGCCGGGCUUGGUCAGUACCUGGUUGGGUGACGGCUUGGGAAUACUCGGUGCUGCAAG